GGGCAUCGGUUUCUCCCAGCAAAGCUUGGAGGGUUUAGCUGCGCGGAGAGCUCAGCGAGCUCUUCUGUGUCUGUUUGGGGCGUGUGGGCUCCGGGAGCGUGAGGACCGGGAAGCUAGGAGGCUCCUUCCCUUCUGGCGGCUCCCUCACUGAGACCGGGCGGUUUGGUUGCGGGGGAAGUGGAGACGAGCCGCCCUUGACCUUUGACUGCAAGAACUCGCCUUGAGCAGGAUAGAGGCACGUGGACGGUGACCCUCGGGAUGCAAUAAAUGCUGAGACAGAUCAGCAAACAUUGAGUGGGCCAGACACUGUUCUGAAAAAUACGCAGUCGACUUUUGAACAGCACAGGCUUGAACUGCAUGCGGCCACUAAUACUCGGACUUUCUUCUGCCUUUGCCACCCCUAAGACAGCAAGACCCACCCCUCCUGCUCCUCAGCCUACUCGAUGUGAUGAUGGCCUGCCGGAGAUCAGAGGCCCAGAUUAUUGAAGGAGACGCCUAUGAGAUGCCCAA
rnacentral:lncRNA from 1 species